GGUGAGAUGUCCGAGUGGUUGAAGGAGCAUGCCUGGAAAGCGUGUAUAUGGGAAACUGUAUCGGGGGUUCGAAUCCCCCUCUCACCGCCA
rnacentral:tRNA from 1 species